rnacentral:lncRNA from 1 species
GGCAAAGAUGAUAUUUGAACAUCAUUAUCAAGAUCAAGCUCCUGAAUGCCAGCAGUCUCUUAUCCUGCAGUCACCAUCAGGACUGCUUACAGUGAAGGUAAUGACUAAAUAUACUGGAAUCAUUGAGUUCACCCAUCUGAAUCCUAAUAAGAACAUAAAAGCACAAAGGGACGUUGGAGGAUAUGGCUGGUCACUGGCAGGGGAAAAGAAGAUACUGCGGUCUGCCAAGAAUCAUAGUUUCGAGCUGUUUCAAGUCCUGCAACCCCCAGUACCAGGAACCAGCCACUGACGAUGUUUGCAUUCACACUGAUC